rnacentral:lncRNA from 1 species
AGGAGCAGUCAUUCAGCAACAAACAAUAGCUAGAUUAAGUCAAAAGAAAGACAUAAAAUAAAGAGACGAGGAGAACGGAGCUCGCGUGUAAAAGGUUGACAGAGGGAGUUGAAGGAGGAGGAAGAGACACCAACGCUGUCUGGAGGCAGAGAAGCGGGCAGCAGGAGAGAGCAAUUAUCCUGAGAUAAAAAGCAUGGCAGGGAGGCAGAUAAGAUCUGUCUACCUCAUCUCUGAAGGGCCUUGGCGAGCACUCAGAGGAAUAUUGAUCACGACGCUCUUGCGUGGCAGGCCUUCACCGGGGCUGCGGCGUUUAGCCGACAGAGCCCUUUGCGAGCGCUGGCCUGGGAUUUAAGCUCCGCGUUGGGCUCCGAACGAGCCCGGCUGCCCACGAGGCAUGGCGAGACAAACCAUUCUUGGCUCUCCAGCAUCGACUGGGAAAAGCCUGUCAGGGAACGAAUAGAGCUCUACUUCGCCGCGCUAAGUGCUGCUAAGGUGCUUUUGAGCAACAAAUCGAGGCCGAGGCCGCUCGGGUCGGGUCUAGGAGCAGGACUGUGAGG